UACGAAGGGGGCUAGCGUUGCUCGGAUUGACUGGGCGUAAAGCGCACGUAGGCGGAUUGCUAAGUCAGGGGUGAAAUCCUGGAGCUCAACUCCAGAACUGCCUUUGAUACUGGCGAUCUUGAGUCCGGGAGAGGUGAGUGGAACUGCGAGUGUAGAGGUGAAAUUCGUAGAUAUUCGCAAGAACACCAGUGGCGAAGGCGGCUCACUGGCCCGGUACUGACGCUGAGGUGCGAAAGCGUGGGGAGCAAACAGG
rnacentral:rRNA from 1 species